rnacentral:rRNA from 1 species
UGAGGAAUAUUGGUCAAUGGGGGCAACCCUGAACCAGCCAAGUCGCGUGAAGGAUGAAGGUCUUAUGGAUUGUAAACUUCUUUUAUACAGGAAUAAAUUGGGGGACGUGUCCCCUUUUGCAUGUACUGUAUGAAUAAGGAUCGGCUAACUCCGUGCCAGCAGCCGCGGUAAUACGGAGGAUCCGAGCGUUAUCCGGAUUUAUUGGGUUUAAAGGGUGCGCAGGCGGGAUGUUAAGUCGGCGGUGAAAUUUUGCAGCUCAACUGUAAAAGGGCCUUAGAUACUGGCCUCCUUGAGUGUGGAUGAAGUAGGCGGAAUUUGUGGUGUAGCGGUGAAAUGCUUAGAUAUCACGAGGAACGCCGAUUGCGCAGGCAGCUUAAUAAGCCACAACUGACGCUCAUGCACGAAGGCGUGGGGAUCAAACA